AUACCUUUCUCGGCCUUUUGGCUAAGAUCAAGUGUAGUAUCUGUUCUUAUCAGUUUAAUAUCUGAUAUGUGGACCAUCGGUUCACACGAUAUUAAAUUAAUUUUUUGAGGGGGAAGAUCCAUCUCAGUGGCUUGCUACUGGGGUCUUUGAGUGUCGCCCAUGUGUUGCACUAUUGCAAGGGCCCGGCGCACCCCAC
rnacentral:snRNA from 1 species